rnacentral:rRNA from 1 species
CAGUAGCCACGGUAAUACGUAGGUGGCAAGCGUUGUCCGGAAUUAUUGGGCGUAAAGCGUGCGCAGGCGGUUCGUUAAGACAGAUGUGAAAUCCCCGGGCUUAACCUGGGAACUGCAUUUGUGACUGGCGGGCUAGAGUAUGGCAGAGGGGGGUAGAAUUCCACGUGUAGCAGUGAAAUGCGUAGAGAUGUGGAGGAAUACCGAUGGCGAAGGCAGCCCCCUGGGCCAAUACUGACGCUCAUGCACGAAAGCGUGGGGAGCAAACAGGAUUAGAUACCCGGGUAGUCCCUGUCUCUUAUAC